rnacentral:lncRNA from 1 species
GGGCAUUUUCGUCAUUUUUCCUCAAAAUUUUUAGAACCCAACUAAAAAUGUAAUAGAUGAGUGGAAAACACAUAUUUCAUGAUUUAAAAUAAAAUUUGGGUGUCUAAAACAUUUAUUAAAAAUGAUAUUGCAACUAUUUGAAUAAAAUAAAAAUAUUCAAUAAAAUAUUCUAAUUUCUUGUAAAACAAUAUUUAUAGAAUCAUCGGUAAAUAAUUUUUGUAAUGUAAAAGCUAAAUAAAUUCAUACGUACUAUAAUACAGAUAACCGAGAUAUGAAAUUUAUUGUGCAGUGACUCGUGGGCCCACAAGAAACAAAAGUGCACAAAGGCAGUAAACCUACAGUUUUUGGAGUAGUAAAGCCGAUUAUAAUCCCUGAUGAUAUCUGCUAUCCAAAGGCUACCUCGGGCCGAAAAUGGUUGAAAAAGAGGGUGGUGAGAUUAUAAAAUCCCAGUGAGUAAACAGAUACCAACUAAACCAUCUAAAGUCGAGUAAAUGGAGACAGAUAAAACAAUUUAACAUACUAAAAUUCAUCACCUUUCAACUUGUUUCAACCAAAUAAAAUUAAUUCAUAUAAAUCGAAUAAUUUACAUGGCUUAUGAAUUUCUUAAAACUUGACUCAUGCCAAAAAUUAUUCUCAUACUCAGUUAUCAAGGAUACCUUGGCCGAGGGCUAUCCUAAACCGAAUCCGCCAAGGCUAUUAAAAAGUUAUAUACUCAUGAAUCAUGUCUUUAUUUAGAAAAUAUAGCCGUUCCUUGGCGUUGGCUGAGUUCGCCCUCACGUGAUGGUUUGGCUUGAAGUGAACUCUAAAAGUUAUACCUCGAGAGCUACCAUACUCGCCUCUCCAACCGAGGUAAAAUAUGUUAGGAUUUCGUGUCCAUCUAAUAGGCUAGUCCACAGAACCCAGCCCACUGCAGCAAGCAAUACCCACUAUAUAAUAAAAUUUUUGAUAGCAUGACAGGGUUAAUUUAAUACUACCCAGCUUACAAAUGUAAAAUACAACAAUUCAUACAAUUCACCAAAAACACAACCCAGCCAGUCAUGCCAACACAUUAACAUAAGUCAUCAAUUCAAAUCAUAAAUUUACAAAUCGAUUUCUUUCACUUUCUACACUCCAAUUAUACUUAAAAUACCUCAAUGACUGUGAAUAUGAUUCAAUUUAUCAGUCCGAACCAUAAAUCGCACAUGUCUAUACAUUAGGUAAAAAUUCAGAUUUUCAUGUCAAAAUUUCCCAUUAAAUUUCUAGCCUCACCAAUCAUUAAAUACCACAAAAUAUCAUGAAAUAUUAUCAAUUUCAGCCUCAAUAUCCUCCCUAGAAAAUUAGGCCUCUUAUGGGUAAUGGGAGAAAAUGAAUUUUUUCUUGUUGGCUUUUCUUGCUACACAUCACUAACUAAUUAAAAACACUAGAAUAUCUUAAAAUUUAACCAAAACAUCAUCAAAUUCUCUCUCCUAGGUGUUCGGCCAGCAAGAGGUUCAUCAUGAAAACUUGAUUUCUAAGCAUGGAAAAUGGAAAAGAAAGCAUGGGUAGUGUAAAUCACAAGUCAAAAUCAAGAAAUUUUACCUUUAUUAGCUUAAUCCCUUGAAAUCUCACACUUUUUCUUCAAUUUUCCAACCUAGGGUUUGUGUUCUUUCCUUUCCUCUUCACUUCACGUUUUGGCCGGCCAUAUGGGUGAGAAAAUGGGCUGAUUUGUGCUGAUUUUUAAGCUAAAUAAUAAAUGGGUGAGAAUUUGCCAUGUGUCACCUUACCAUUGGUCCAUUUUUAAUUUCUUAACUAUUAAGCUUUCUCUCUCCAUCAUAUAAAUUCCUUCAAUUAUUCAUGAUAAUUUUGGGUAAAUUCCAUAUGCUGGAUAAGUGUUGGGUGGUGUAAAAUUACAAUUUUGGCCUUGAGAUGGCAAAAUUAUCAUUUUACCCUUAUACUACGAAAAAUACCGAAAUUAAAAUUUUUCACUUCUCAACCUCAAAUUAUACUCCAACAAGUCAAAUAUGAUCAAAAUCUUUCAAAAAAAAUUCCCAUUUUGUCCUCGAGUGGCAAAAUUACCACUUUACCCCUAGAUAGUGAAAUUUUCAGUUUGACUCCAAAUUGAUCGUCGAACUCCAAAUCACCAUUUUAAAGCAUUCCUGAACUAUAAAAUUUUUAAUUUCACCCUAAAAUCUCUAUUUGAUCUAGUUCGAAACUUAAAUCAACUUUGUUGUACCUCUAGGUACAAUAUUGACUUUUGUAAAUUUUUCGGAACUCUCCUUGCAUGUAAACAUGCUAUCCAUCACAUGUAUGUCAUGACAAGUAUUUUAUAAGGUCAGGCUUUACAGCACUACCCCCCUUAAAAUAAAAUUUUGACCUCAAAAUUUCAAUUAUCGGAUUCCAAGAAAAUAUGUGGAUAUUGGUCUCUCAUCUGGUGCUCGACUUCCCACGUCAUCUCUUCCAUUCGAGCAUUCUGUGGCAUCCCCCUCGAGGGCCCACUCCAAGGUAUUGUUACAUCCGGGUCCCCAUCACUUGACUACUCGUAUUCGCCACUCCUAAGGGUGGCACGACAGGCCCUACAAGACCUUCUCGCCAAGCUUCGAACCCGAUACCUUUUUCUCCUUCCGAAAGGAACGCCUUUAACCAUUGGGAUGUUUUUAUUCCUCAACACUCGAUCCUUUCGAUCUAGAAUACACACAGGUUGCAUCUAAGUCAAAUCAUCCUUAAAUCAUCAAUCAUGCAUGUUUACUUAACUAUCCACAAUUUCUCUACCUCGACCUUUUAUUAAACCUUCCCACAUUCAAACAUUUAUUUCACCAUUAAUUAUGGGUCUAAAUGGUCAACCAGCUUCUAUUCCGUUUUACAUACCUCCCUACAAAUUCUAUUCAAGCAUUUCAUAAUACAUAAGGAUCAAACACCUUUUAUUUAUCCAUAUAUAUUUAACAUCACAGAUAAUCUAAAUUUGGUAACCAUUAGUAACCAUAUUCUCAAAAAGAAACUCUCGUAUUUAUUUAUUUUAUGAUCAAGUACUUAUUAAGUAGAUCUCAACUAUUACCACCAUACAUUUAAAUAAAUAAACAUACUUUUGGAUGUAUCCUUAUGGACUUAAUCAAUCCUUAAAAUUCCUAGGUCAUAACCAAUUAGUUAGUUAUACGUCACAUACAAACAUAUUCAACUUGUGAUUCCUCAAAAUUACAUUCAGAUGCUAGAUCUCAUGGCCUCAUUAGUUUAUCAAUCUGGAAAUGAAAAUAAACAUUUAUCUCCCCUCAUGUACACUUUAAAAUCAAAGUAUCAUUUAUUAAGAUCUUUCUGAUAUCAACUUCCUUCAGUCCCUUUUUCCUUUGAAGAUUAAUCCAUAAUUAAUCAUUUUGAGUCAUGGGCUUAUGCCAAUCAAGGCAGAUUUUCACACCUUUGAUUACAUGAAUUCAAUUGCACAUAUUCACCUAUAAGCUAUAAACUUUUCCCCAAAUCUUUAUAUAUCAAAACUGAUAUAUUAUUUAUAUCAUUUCCAAAUCAUAUGCUUGAGUUUCAUCAUGCUAUAUCCUCACAUCACAAUGUCAUUAAUCACAUCUCACUUGCUAAAUGUCACUUAAAAACUUAGACUGAUUCGAAUCAUGCAUGCCUUAAGCAUUUUCAAAUUCUAAUUUUCAUACUACCUUAGGAAAUUUUCAUUAUCAAGCUUCAUUAUCCAAAUCAUCUUCAUUCAUCCUUUGUUAUGUUCUUCCACACUAAUGUGAUAUCAUUCUCCCUAGACCAAUCUGCCGUUUGUACUUAAAACUGUAAGACUUGAAAUAAGGUUCUUCAAAGUACUUUUCAAUGUCAAUACGAAUUUCUCUUCCAACUUACGGCUUCCUCUUUACAGCCACAUAACUUAAUGCUAGCUUCCACAAAAUUCCUAGCAAAACUCUUCUUGAGUAUUUCCUUGGGAAUAUCUAUCUUAGACUUAUGUCUCACAACAUAAGAUCAUUUAACUUGUGACUUAGCCGUUAGGCUCCUCAACAAGUUUUAAAGUCACGCAUCUUAUGCUCAUCAUGUAUAACUUAUAAUUCUUUCUUAAAGGCGUUUAAACAUUCUUGAAACACUUAAUCACUUAUUUGCUCUCUUAUACACCAAGUAUAUCAUUUCCAUAAAGGCAUGCCCAACUACUCAUGCUUCAAUUUAUCUCCGAGGGUUUCUAGCAUGUCACCUAGUUUACUUGUGUUGUUACUAAUCCUUUCCUUUCAACAAGGUCAAGACAAGAUCAAUAUAUUCUCAUAAUAAUAUUCUAUAUCAACUCAUUUGCUAUAUCAUUAUUGAAAUCUUUAUUUUCAUUUUCCUCACUUGGUAUUGACAUCUCUUAUCAGUAUCUCAUACAUUCAUCUAACCUUUCGCUCGCUUCCUCAUUAGUCUUUAACAAGACUUAAUCUCUUGUCUUCCUUAUUUAUUAAGAUUUGACUUCAGUCAUCAUAUUAUUCAUCUUAAUACCUCCCCAAUGCACUUAAAAUUCCAAACAACAAAGCUUAGCAUCAAAACCAAUGACCAUUCUUCAACUCGUGAGUUUCAUCUUCAUGCCACUCUUAAUUUGCUCAUGCUUUCUAGCCAUUAGGGGUUCUUAACGCGACAGCAUUUGAUAGUCAAUAUUGUGGCGUUGCAACUGUUUGAAUUCACUUUAUCCCAGCAACUCUUCUACCUUUAAAGCUACUACCUCAAUUAUUCACAAUCAUGUGGCUUCCCUCUAAGUCUAUACCACAAUUAGCAAGACUAACUUUCUAUCACAAUUAUGUGAUCAGAACAUUGAUUUAACGUAUUUAUUUUGCCACUAGCAUUCCUGUAUCUUUACCAAAACAUUUAGUACGAGUUUGCUUAAGCAAAAAUCUCCAAAUCUAUUCAUAGCUACAUGUAUUUCAGAUUGCACAUCACUUAUCAUCAAUCAAUAAAUCCCACUUGAGAAUACUCUUUCCAUAUUGUAUAGUGACUUCACCAUAUAGUAUCACGACACUAUGUUCCUCCAUUCUACUAUCACGCAUACUCCACAAAAAUUAAUUAAAAGAUUUACGUACCUUAACUAAUGCUAAUUCCAUUUAAUCAUAUCUUAAAUACUCCAAACUUGUAAAUUACAACUCCAAGUGUAUGUCCAUAUGUUGAUAAUCUUUAUAUAUUUCAUGAUUAUGAAAACUACAACUUACAAACUAGCUUUAUAUUAUAUGCACACUAUUAGAACAUUAAUUUCAACAUGUUUAAUUCUCCUUUGGUGGUAUGUUAAGAUCAUUCCUGGAUACAUUUCCAUAAUAACAUUGAUAUACCUUUAUCAUAGCAUUUAGUGCAAAUUUGAUGAAGGAAUUGUCUCCAAAUAACUCUUAAAUACAUAAUUAUCAAAUUAUAUACCACUAAAUGUUAAGAUCUAGACUUUACUCAUCUAUAACCAAUCACAUUUAUUAAGUGAAUAAUUUACUUAGUUAUUACGCCUUGCCUUUGCGAUUACAAGAUCAAAGUUGUCCUAAACUUAGGAUGCAGAAGUUCUCUCUCUUAAAGUAUAUCCAAAUAUCAACAUUUUCUAAAUUCCUUACUCUAAGGAGAUCACCUUCAAGACUGAUCAUUCGUGUCAUAAGCCACACUUUAAACUGAAUAAACUUUUAUAUUGAUCUUUCAAGUAAUUCGUAUAUCAAUCUCAAUUAUAAAACUUCAUAGGGCACUUAGACUAGAUUCGACAUUUCCAAGUCAUUUAACCUCAAGCUGCCAAUUCUACAUGUAGUCCUUUAAUCCCUUGGCUCCCCUUGCUAUGCAUAGCAAAGUUCAAGCUCAUCCUUAGAGUAUAUUUGUUUACUAACUUCUUACUUCAUAACCACACAUCAAUUAUAGUGAUCAUUGAUACUCACUCUCGAGUUAAUUCACGUGCUUAUAUCCAUCAACUAUAAUAGAUCCAAUCAAUUCUUGAAAUCUCAUAGUCCCCAAAUCUUUUUCCAAUUGACAACCAUGAGUUCAAUUAUAAUCCCACCAAAUGAAUAAAUUAUCACGGCCUAUUAGUCUAACUCCAAAUUUCUCCAUCCUUAAUUGGAGGAAUAUAUCAUUUCAUUAAUCUUUCAUUAGGAACAUUCGUUUUAAGAUCUCUCUAACACUGUCUCGUGUCACGGGUGGAAUCUUAAACCCGAACAAUGGCCCUACUUAUGACCUUUGCAUGACAUUAACAAGGAAAUGGAUUACUGGGAACAGGAGUUCAUAUAGCUCCCAUAAGAUCUAUAACAAGAAACAGAACGAGUCUAAACAACUCCAAGUUCUACAUGCAGAUGCACGUAUUCUAUUCAACCUAACUUAACUUAACUCGGGGCCACACUGACACUGUAAAUUUUUAAAGCAACUUUAAGAUAACUUUAAACCCAAAAACUCUGAUCUUUAAAACCAAAAGCUCUGAUACCAACUGAAUUGUUAUGACCCGGUACUCCCUUCGAGCCCGUGACAACCGCCACGACGUCCUGAUCGACAUUCGUUUCCCGAAAUGCCAACCAGAACCCCGCAAGGCUUUAGUACCAUUUUUCUCAUCUCUCCUGUGAGUAAUCAUCGCCAAACCUUGUUUUUAAAGAAUUUUAAGUUUUUUCCCCAUUCAAAACUGUGGAAAAAUAAUUUUCACCUCACAGGGGCGAUUUCAUCAUUUUUUCUCAAAAUUUUUCGAACCCAACUAAAAAUGUAGUAGAUGAAAACACAUAUUUCAUGAUUUAAAAUAAAAUUUGGGUGUCUAAACAUUUAUUAAAAAUGAUAUUGCAACUAUUUGAAUAAAAUAAAAAUAUUCAAUAAAAUAUUCUAAUUUCUUGUAAAACAAUAUUUAUAGAAUCAUCGGUAAAUAAUUUUUAUAAUGUAAAAGCUAAAUAAAUUCAUACGUACUAUAAUAUAGAUAACCGAGAUAUGAAAUUUACUGUACAGUGACUCGUGGGCCCACAAGGAGAAAAAGUGCACAAAGGCAGCAAAUCUACAGUUUUUGGAGUAGUAAAGCCGACUAUAAUCCCUAAUGAUAUAUGCUAUCCACAAGCUACCUCGAGCCUGAAAUGGUUAAAAAGGAAGGUGGUGAGAUUAUAAAAUCCCAGUGAGUAAACAGAUACCAUCUAAACCAUCUAAAAUCGAGUAAAUGGAGACAGAUAAAAUAAUUUGGCAUACUAAAAUUCAUCACCUUUCAACUUGUUUCAAUUAAAUUAAUUCAUAUAAAUAGAACAAUUUACAUGGCUUAUGAAUUUCUUAAAACUUGGCUCAUGCCAAAAAUUAUUCUCAUACUUAGUUAUCAAGGAUACCUUGGCCGAGGACUAUCCCAAACUGAGUCCGCCAAGGCUAUUAAAAAGCUAUAUACUCAUAAAUCAUGUUUUUAUUUAGAAAAUAUAGUUGUUCCUUGGCGUUGGCUGAGUUCGCCCUCACGUGGUGGUUUGCCGUGAAGUGAACUCUAAAAGUUAUACCUCGAGAGUUACCCUACUCGCCUCUCCAACUGAGGUAAAAUAUGUCAGGAUUCUGUGCCCCUCUAAUAGGCUAGUCCACACAACCCAGCCCACUGCAGCAAGCAAUACCCACCAUACAAUAAAAUUUUUGACAGCAUGACAAGGUUAAUUUAAUACUACCCAGCCUGCAAAUAUAAAAUAGAACAAUUCAUACAGUUCACCAAAAACACAACCCAGCCAGUCAUGCCAACACAUUAACAUAAGUCAUCAAUUCAGAUCAUAAAUUUACAACACAUCAGGGGUCUCCAAUUACUCUAUUUUCAAAAUCAUCAUUCAAUUUCAAGACAAUUUAUAAAAUCUUUUCAUUUAAACACAUUUUGUUUAUAAACAUAAAGGUUUACCAUUUAAACCCAUUUUUCAUAAAAUCAUAAAAUCGGAUAAACACCACUUUAGAUAAUUAAGACGAUAGUAAGGUUACUCACUAUACUAGGAGUUAGAUAUACUCCUAUUUUCGAGUCUUCGGGCACAAUCUCUUUACCCUUAUUAGAGGGCUCACCACUUAUACAUCAUACGUGACACGAAUUUCAAUAAAUUGUGUCAAUUUAUCAUAAACUAUUUUGGGCUCUAUAAAUCUAUAUGAAUGCACGAAAUGUGAUACAAAAUGUCCAAAUAGCCGUUUAAAUACGGUAUUCGACCUAAUUCGCACUAUUCUCAAUGUAAUUGGCUAAAACCUCCAAUUUAACUCCAAAUCAAUUUCUUUCACUUUCUACACUCCAAUUGUACUUAAAAUACCUCAAUGACUGUGAAUAUGAUUCAAUUUAUCAGUCAGAACCAUAAAUCGCACAUGUCUAUACAUUAGGUAAAAAUUCAUAUUUUCAUGCCAAAGUUUCCCAUUAAAUUUCUAGCCUCACCAAUCAUUAAAUACCACCAAAAUAUCAUGAAAUAUUAUCAAUUUCAGCCUUAAUAUCCUCCCUAGAAAAUUCGGCCUCUUAUGGGUAAUGGGAGAAAAUGAAUUUUUCUUGUUGGCUUUUCUUGCUACAUAUCACUAACUAACUAAAAACACUAGAAUAUCUUAAAAUCUAACCAAAACAUCAUCAAAUUCUCUCUCCUAGGUGUUCGGGCAGCAAGAGGUUCAUCAUAAAAACUUGAUUUCUAAGCAUGGAAAAUGGAAAAGAAAGCAUGGGUAGUGUAAAUCACAAGUCAAAAUCAAGAAAUUUUACCUUUAUUAGCUUAAUCCCUUGAAAUCCCAUACUUUUUCUUCAAUUUUUCCACCUAAGAUUUGUGUUCUUUCCUUUCCUCUUCACUUCAUGCUUUGGCCGGCCAUAUGGG